UUCCGGCGGCGUCCGGUGAGCUCUCGCUGGCCCUUGAAAAUCCGGGGGAGAGGGUGUAAAUCUCGCGCCGGGCCGUACCCAUAUCCGCAGCAGGUCUCCAAGGUGAACAGCCUCUGGCAUGUUGGAACAAUGUAGGUAAGGGAAGUCGGCAAGCCGGAUCCGUAACUUCGGGAUAAGGAUUGGCUCUAAGGGCUGGGUCGGUCGGGCUGGGGCGCGAAGCGGGGCUGGGCGCGCGCCGCGGCUGGACGAGGCGCCGCCGCCCCCCCC
rnacentral:ncRNA from 1 species